rnacentral:rRNA from 1 species
GAUGAACGCUGGCGGCGUGCCUAAUACACGCAAGUCGAGCGAACAGACGAGAGUGCUUGCACUCUCUGACGUUAGCGGCGGACGGGUGAGUAACACGUGGGUAACCUACCUAUAAGACUGGGAUAACUUCGGGAAACCGGAGCUAAUACCGGAUAAUAUUUAGCUUCGCAUGAAGCAAUAGUGAAAGACGGUUCUGCUGUCACUUAUAGAUGGACCCGCGGUGUAUUAGCUAGUUGGUGAGGUAACGGCUCACCAAGGCAACGAUACAUAGCCGACCUGAGAGGGUGAUCGGCCACACUGGGACUGAGACACGGCCCAGACUCCUACGGGAGGCAGCAGUAGGGAAUCUUCCGCAAUGGACGAAAGUCUGACGGAGCAAUGCCGCGUGAGUGAAGAAGGUUUUCGGAUCGUAAAACUCUGUUGUAAGGGAAGAACAAGUACGUUAGUAACUGAACGUACCUUGACGGUACCUUACCAGAAAGCCACGGCUAACUACGU